GGCUUCCCGCGCGCGGCCAGCCGGUCUCCACGCAGACGCGAGCGCCCCGGCGCCGCCCUCUCCCGCAUUCCCGUGACGGGCAGCGAAGUCAGCCAGUGGGACUGCGGGCCGGAAGGCUAACUCCGCCCAUGUGUGGCUUAUAAGAGGCGGUAGCUUCCGGGAGUGUCACUUUCCCAGAAAUCCCGGCAAAUCCGCCCUAGAGUUUUCGUUGGUCCAACCGGGCCACAGACUCCGGCCCGUCUGGUUAGGUGGGAUGCCUGAUUGGGCCAAACCUCUUAGGUCCCGCACCUAGAGCGGGGAGUAGCGUCUGCUUUUUUUUCCGCUGAGCGGAGGCCGCUAGGCUGGAGAGGGAGGGGAAGGAUCUUAACAGCAUUUGUUUGCCAUGAGAGGCUGCAUGACUUGGAGCCAGUCAAUCUACGGUGACAGCAAAGCAGUUGUGACUCUAAUGUACUGCCACCAAAAACACUUUCUUUUCCGUCUCUCAGCCUUAGCAGGAUCAUCUGAGCCACUGCCAGUUCAGAGUGAGCUGGGGCUGCUUUUCCAGGAGGGCAGUUGGGGACCUGACUUUUGAGGAGAUUCUGAGGUUUACUGAAGGAGCAAACCCUAUGGGGUUAGACAGAGUUUUGUGAAAUCUGAGCUCUGCCUUCUCUGUACUUCAGUUACUGCCUCUGUAAAAUGGGGGUGUGGACACUGUAGACAUUAAAUGGCAGUGUAUAAAGGAGGCACCAUCUGGAGCAUUUGUCCAGCCUGCAAUGAUGCCGUUUGUCUGAGAAGGUUGUAGGGAUCAUUUCUGGUUUGAAUCUCAGCCCUCUUCCCAGCUCAGCCACCAGCCAUCUGGAAUUGUGGGAGAGGUCAGACGGCUGCAAAGCCUCUAUGUGGAAUUGGAACUAAAUACACAUAUUUAUCAGUAUUUAAUGGAAGACUGCAGGAUGCUUGCAGAGUCUACAGAAGGCACUGGUAAGGUGGCUCUUUUAGUCUGGGAACAAGAACUGGGCAAUGGAUGCCUCAGAGGCUGAGUUGGACUGACAGAGCUGUGACCAGUGUCUAGAACCUGGGAUUCUCCACUAAAGUCAGAUUCUCAGGAGAGAGUUGGAUUGGCCCAACUUCAGUCAUGUGCCACCCCUCUGCUGCCCAGGAGGGAUGGGUGGCUUGAGGGACAGUCCUGCCAAAAACACCUGGGGAGGAAGUUUCUCAAAAGAAGUAAUGUGGAGGAGCUGUUCCCAAAGGAAGCGGGGGAUUCUGAGAAGGCAGGAAUAACUGAGGCCAUGAGCACAGACAGAGGAUGAAGCAGAGGUCAAGGUCAUGUGACCAGAGGAGAGAACUGGAGCAAGACAUGUAUGCACACACACAUGCACACAUGGACACUCACAUAUGCACACUUACAUGUACACAUGCACACUUACAUGUACACAUGCGUACACACGAGCUAUGGAGAAUGGUUGCCUUGAUUCCUUACUAUGAUGGAUUACAUUUUCUGAAAAUGGACACAAAAUAAAUUUCUGGUCCCAUGUCCUCAUCUGGAACCUUACCUUGCCACCCGCUGUCAGGACAUGGUGUUGAGUCCUUCCCUUGAUCAGGGAGGCCUUUGUGACUGUGUGAGCUCAGGCUAAAUGGUGUUACAUGUCUGCCAAGGUUGGCCUGUAAAAGGAGAUACAGCCGGUGCUGCUCUCUAGCUAUACAUGUGCCUGGAGCCCAGUGCUGUGCUGCAAGCAAAGCCCAACUCCAGCUGAGCCACCCCACAGCAACGCGUGCCCAGUAGCCAGUUGUGUGGCUUGUGUGAACCACCGUGGUCCUAGGUUGGCAAGGCUUGAAGAGAAAUGAGCCUACCCUGCCUUGCCCCACCCAAACUGCAGAUUUGUGGGCAAAAUAAAUGAUUGUUGUCAUGCUAACCCACUAAGUUUUGUAGUGGUCUGCUAUGCAGCAAGACAGAGUUCUUACUCAUUACUUUCCUUCUCCAAGUCCUUGCUGUGGUCCUGCCCCAAGGUUCCAGGGAAUAGCCUAGUGCUGGCAAUAACUCCUUUUUAAUUUAUGUCUGACCUGGGUUUGCCACUUGCUGCUAAUGGAACCUUGAAAAUAGGGCCCCUUGGCUGGGUGCGAUGGCUCAUGCCUGUAAUCCCAGCACUUUGGGAGGCCGAGGUGGGCACAUCAUGAGGUCAGGAGUUUGAGACCAGCCUGGCCAACAUGGUGAAACCUUGUCUCUACUAAA
rnacentral:lncRNA from 10 species